GACGAACGCUGGCGGCGUGCUUAACACAUGCAAGUCGAACGGAAAGGCCCUGCUUUUGUGGGGUGCUCGAGUGGCGAACGGGUGAGUAACACGUGAGUAACCUGCCCUUGACUUUGGGAUAACUUCAGGAAACUGGGGCUAAUACCGGAUAGGAGCUCCUGCUGCAUGGUGGGGGUUGGAAAGUUUCGGCGGUUGGGGGUGGACUCGCGGCUUAUCAGCUUGUGGGUGGGGUGGUGGCCUACCAAGGCUUUGACGGGUAGCCGGCCUGAGAGGGUGACCGGCCACAUUGGGACUGAGAUACGGCCCAGACUCCUACGGGAGGCAGCAGUGGGGAAUUUUGCACUAUGGGCGGAAGCCUGAUGCAGCAACGCCGCGUGCGGUAUGACGGCCUUCGGGUUGUACACCUCUUUCGCCUGUGACGAAGCGUGAGUGACGGUAAUGGGUAAAGAAGCACCGGCUAACUACGUG
rnacentral:rRNA from 1 species